UACGUAGGGUGCGAGCGUUGUCCGGAAUUAUUGGGCGUAAAGAGCUCGUAGGCGGUGUGUCGCGUCGGUCGUGAAAACUUGGGGCUUAACCCUGAGCUUGCGGUCGAUACGGGCAUCACUGGAGUUCGGCAGGGGAGACUGGAAUUCCUGGUGUAGCGGUGAAAUGCGCAGAUAUCAGGAGGAACACCGAUGGCGAAGGCAGGUCUCUGGGCCAUAACUGACGCUGAGAAGCGAAAGCAUGGGGAGCGAACAGG
rnacentral:rRNA from 1 species